rnacentral:lncRNA from 1 species
ACGGUUAAUCAUAGGUCAGGGAUAAAUAAAUAAGCUUUAUUUAGUUUCAGUCGGCAAGGUAUUUAAACAUAGGGAUCUCAGAAUCCAGGAUUGUGUACCUAAUUUAAAAAAAAAAAAAUGGGGGGGGGGGGGGGGGGGGGCUUACCCCAGACCCCCUUUGAAUGUUGCACAGGCUGAUGUAACAAUGCGCAGUGUGCCCUUCUUAUAACCAAAUUAAUAUAGUUUCCUCAAAGCCAAUUGCAACAUUUCACGAACUUUAUUUCCAAAUUACAUGGGCCCCUUCACCUAAACUCUAGGAAAAUCACUGAAUAGGUAAAGGACGGUUAGCAAUGAGCAAAAGAUUUACUGCAUAGUCAGCUGAUGUAAAUGGCCCUGAAAUACUGACUGUGAUAUUUUCCAUAUUCUGCAUCAUACUAUCUUUUUAAAAUUUAUCAAAAAAAUCUAUACACUUAUAUCCAGAAAUAAUUACUUGCCUAUUAUUGUUGUAUUCAAAACAUUGAUAGAAAAUUUAAGAAAAAA